AAGUCGUAACAAGGUUUCGUAGGUGAACCUGCGGAAGGAUCAUUAC
rnacentral:rRNA from 1 species